GACGAACGCUGGCGGCGUGCCUAAUACAUGCAAGUAGGACGCUGAAGAGAGGAGCUUACUCUUCUUGGAUGAGUUGCGAACGGGUGAGUAACGCGUAGGUAACCUGCCUUGUAGCGGGGGAUAACUAUUGGAAACGAUAGCUAAUACCGCAUAACAAUGGAUGACACAUGUCAUUUAUUUGAAGGGGGCAAUUGCUCCACUACAAGAUGGACCUGCGUUGUAUUAGCUAGUAGGUGGGGUAAUGGCUAACCUAGGCGACGAUACAUAGCCGACCUGAGAGGGGGAUCGGCCACACUGGGACUGAGACACGGCCCAGACUCCUACGGGAGGCAGCAGUAGGGAAUCUUCGGCAAUGGGGGCAACCCUGACCGAGCAACGCCGCGUGAGUGAAGAAGGUUUUCGGAUCGUAAAGCUCUGUUGUAAGUCAAGAACGGGUGUGAGAGUGGAAAGUUCACACUGUGACGGUAGCUUACCAGAAAGGGACGGCUAACUACGUG
rnacentral:rRNA from 1 species